rfam:Punica granatum cultivar Dabenzi scaffold144, whole genome shotgun sequence.
GGUUGGUGAUGAUAAAUCCAAAGGCAUGUUUCUCGCAAACAUUCGCAGUGGCCGCCAGAGAGCUUUUGCCUUUCGCCGGGCUUGCGAGCUCGUGCUGCUCUUAUCCUUCCUUGGAUGUCAGAAACC